rnacentral:rRNA from 1 species
AAUAAGCUGGCGGCAUGCCUUAACACAUGCAAGUCGAACGAAGCCUUCGGGCUUAGUGGCGCACGGGUGCGUAACACGUGGGAAUCUGCCCUUCGGUUCGGAAUAACAGUUAGAAAUGACUGCUAAUACCGGAUGAUGACGAAAGUCCAAAGAUUUAUCGCCGAAGGAUGAGCCCGCGUAGGAUUAGGUAGUUGGUAGGGUAAUGGCCUACCAAGCCGACGAUCCUUAGCUGGUCUGAGAGGAUGAUCAGCCACACUGGGACUGAGACACGGCCCAGACUCCUACGGGAGGCAGCAGUGGGGAAUAUUGGACAAUGGGCGAAAGCCUGAUCCAGCAAUGCCGCGUGAGUGAUGAAGGCCUUAGGGUUGUAAAGCUCUUUUACCUAGGGAUGAUAAUGACAGUACCUGGAGAAUAAGCUCCGGCUAACUCCGUGCCAGCAGCCGCGGUAAAACGUCGACUG